GUGAGGAAUAUUGGACAAUGGGCGCAAGCCUGAUCCAGCCAUGCCGCGUGCAGGAAGACGCAUCUAUGGUGUGUAAACUGCUUUUGUACGGGAAGAAACACUCCCUCGUGAGGGAGCUUGACGGUACCGUAAGAAUAAGGAUCGGCUAACUCCGUGCCAGCAGCCGCGGUAAUACGGAGGAUCCAAGCGUUAUCCGGAAUCAUUGGGUUUAAAGGGUCCGUAGGCGGUUUAAUAAGUCAGUGGUGAAAGCCCAUCGCUCAACGAUGGAACGGCCAUUGAUACUGUUAGACUUGAAUUACAAGGAAGUAACUAGAAUAUGUAGUGUAGCGGUGAAAUGCUUAGAUAUUACAUGGAAUACCAAUUGCGAAGGCAGGUUACUACUUGUGGAUUGACGCUGAUGGACGAAAGCGUGGGGAGCGAACAGGAUUAGAAACCCGGGUAGUCC
rnacentral:rRNA from 1 species